rfam:Bacillus sp. 1NLA3E, complete genome.
AACACCUUUAAUACAGUCCCGAGAGGCUGAGAAGGAAACGGAUAUCUGAUGGAUGGUAACGAGAUUUAUUCCACCAGAUUAGCUCAAUGUGUUCGUACACCCUCUCACUCAAUCGGUGAGAGGGUUUUUUGAU